rnacentral:rRNA from 1 species
ACGAACGCUGGCGGCGUGCUUCACCCAUGCCAGUCGAACGGAAAGGCCCCUUUGGGGGUACUCGAGUGGCGACCGGGUGAGUAACACGUGAGUAACCUGCCCUUGACUUCGGGAUAACUUCAGGAAACUGGGGCUAAUACCGGAUAGGAAUCCUUGCUGCAUGGUGGGGGUUGGAAAGCUUCGGCGGUUUUGGAUGGACUCGCGGCUUAUCAGCUUGUUGGUGGGGUAGUGGCUUACCAAGGCUUUGACGGGUAGCCGGCCUGAGAGGGCGACCGGCCACAUUGGGACUGAGAUACGGCCCAGACUCCUACGGGAGGCAGCAGUGGGGAAUAUUGCACAAUGGGCGGAAGCCUGAUGCAGCAACGCCGCGUGCGGGAGGACGGCCUUCGGGUUGUAAACCGCUUUCAGCAGGGGCGAAGCUUGUGGUGACGGUACCUGCAGAAGAAGCACCGGCUAACUACGUG